rnacentral:lncRNA from 1 species
GGGACACCCAAAGGGGGACAGUGAGCCCACUGUGUCUUUUAGAACCCAAAGCGAGUUACUGCAAACCUCAGGCAAUUGAAGUGAAUAUUGGCUAGCUCAAAAGGCUGUGAAGAUGACCACCGUAUCUAUCUGAGUAAUUUUUUUCUUCUGUCUCAGUCUUGAAAUCAGGCAUGGUUAUUUUUAUUUUCGGUGUAUGCAGGCUUAACCUAUGUGCUUAUAUUCACAAUGAACUCUUGAAUCGGAUCCUCUGUGUUUUGCUGGGGAGUAUUCAUUCCCCACUUGACCUGCUUUGUUGCUCAAAACUUUGUAGCUCAUCUUUGCCUUCCCGUCUGUUUAUUCUUGGUGUGGGGUUGUCAAGGAGAAAUGUUGGAAGGGAGAGAAGGGAGCAGGCAUCAUAGAUGGUAUUACAGGCGGCUGGUCUCUCCUCUCUCAGCCAACUAUGAGAACUAUUUGGGAUUGAAGGAGAUAAGCUACAGCAAGUCGUUACUUGUCCUGAAUGCACGACCUUCUUUCUUUGAGCAAGAGGACAAACCUGGGUAGGGAUCUCUAUGAUGUUUUCUGCGUUGCCCGUGGACGUUCAUCUUUCUGAUUUGUUAGCUGAAGAUGAGGAUCUGGAGCAGGAGCUCGGAGUGCCAUUGUUCCAUGGGCAGAUGUGCAGCAGAGAUUGCCACGCACCCAGUAAGGGGAAGUGAGGCAGACUGGCUGUGAACCUGGGGAUGCCACCAAAACCAGAGCAUUAGGAAGACAAGCAGGGCCUUCAGUAGGCAUAAGGUGAUGAGGUUCAUGCCGUUGGAUCCCACGGGUGCCCUGGGGAAGAGAUGGUUGGGAAGUCUGAGAGGAAGCAGGAGAGCUUUCGGAGCACAUGGAUGCCGUCCAGAAUGGAGAUGGUUGUGGCUCGGAAGAAAAAGAAAUCACCCAGCUCGGAGUCAGGAUACAUUUGGAGGUCCAGGCCGCCGAGUUUGCUGGUGGGGAAGAUAGGCACCAGAAAGGAAAGAGGACAUCCAGGGCAAUUUCUUCUGCCCCCCAGCCAAUCCGUACAUUGUCCAGAGGCCAAGCCUACUGCUGUUAGAAAACAUAUUUAGAAAUCACUUGGUUCUUCCUUGCCUGAACAUCAUCUAUUUAGUUAGCUUGUGUUGUUUAGAUGUGCUUCAGAUCUCAAAAAAAUAAAUUAUGUUAUUUGAAAGCUUGCUCUCUGCUUGUUUACACUAUUAAUUUAGAGUCCAGAGGAAUCUCUAAAUUUGCCUCUAGAAACCACAUAAUCACCUAAUAAUACCUUUCCUGACUCCACUUUCUGACACAAAGUGACUUUUGAAACGCUUCCAUCUUCCCUUUCUAUUUAAUGUACUGCACUCCACUCUUUUUUCCUUUCGUUUUUUCUACAGUCCGUCAUGGAGUAUUUGUUUACCAAAUGUUACUUUUCUUGGAUCCAAUCUAUUUUUGAAGAGCGCAAAAGCAAACAACUGUUUGAAGCUGUCAAGCUUCAUUUUAUUUAUGCAUGAAUAACACAAAUAACUUGAAAAUGACCUAGUCUGUUUUUCUCAGAUUUAGAUAGAAAAACUGCUUCCGGCCAAUGUUUAUGCCAAUUUGUUCAUGCCAAGUUUCCAGUUUCGGUGCCAACCGGUUUUUACAGCCAAGUUGUAAACCUUCGGUAAACAUGGCUUAUAAUGAAAAGUGCAACACAGCCUGAACCCUGGCACCAGGGGACGGAUGUAAAUUUAUUCUAAGAACAAAAUUCUAACAGGAACAGGAGGGGAGCUAGGCUGGCUACAAAGUGUUCCCACCGUAAUAUGGAAAAUGUACAGAUGAUGAUAUAUUUGAUUACUAAGAUCCCAUUAGGCCAAUUUAGGCAC